rnacentral:rRNA from 1 species
GGGCACGCGGUGGAUGCCUCGGCACCAGGGGCCGAAGAAGGGCGUGGCAAGCUGCGAAAAGCCCCGGGGAGCCGCAAGCAGGCUGUGAUCCGGGGAUUCCCGAAUGGGGAAACCUGACGGGGAAAACCCCCGUCACCAGCAGGUGAAUCCAUAGCCUGCUGGGGGGCAGCCCGCGAACUGAAACAUCUUAGUAGCGGGACGAAAAGAAAGCAACCGCGAUGCCCCGAGUAGUGGCGAGCGAAAGGGGCACAGCCCAAACCGUCACCGUGUAAAAGCCCGCAGGCGUUGCGGUGGCGGUGUAGCGGGACAGCACCGGAGGGGGCUGCGGACCCCUCCGGGAGUUACAAAACCCCGACCUAGCCGAAGUGGCCUGGAACGGCCCGCCGUAGAGGGUGAGAGCCCCGUAGGCGAAAGGUCAGGGGUCUCCCGGGGUGCUGCUCCCAAGUAGCUCGGGCCCCGUGAAAGCCUGAGCGAUUCUGGGGGGACCACCCCCUAAGGCUAAAUACCCCUGGUGACCGAUAGCGCACCAGUACCGUGAGGGAAAGGUGAAAAGAACGGUGGGAAGCCGAGUGAAAUAGAGCCUGAAACCGCGUGCCUACAAGCAGUCGGAGGGCUAUGCCCCGUGACAAUCACGGGGCACUGCCUGACGGCGUGCCUCUUGAAGAAUGAGCCGGGGAGUUGCCGUCGGUGGCGAGGCUAAGCGCCAUCAGGCGCGGAGCCGUAGGGAAACCGAGUCUGAAUAGGGCGUUAGUCGCCGGCGGCAGACCCGAAACCGAGCGAGCUACCCCUGCCCAGGUGAAGUGCCCUUAACCGGGCACGGAGGCCCGAACCCGUCGGUGUUGCAAAACCGUGGGAUGAGGUGGGGGUAGCGGUGAAACGCCAAUCGAGCUCGGGGAUAGCUGGUUCUCCCCGAAACACGUGUAGGCGUGACGUCGGGCCAUUAAGCGGCGGAGGUAGAGCCACGGAUGGGGGUAGGGGGUUAACAGCCUACCGAACCCCGUCCAACUCCGAAUGCCGCCGCUGGUCCCUUUAUGGGGCUAAGGCCCGGCAGUCGGACUCCGGGGGAUAAGCUCCGGAGUCGCGAGGGAAACAGCCCAGACCGCCAGCUAAGGCCCCCAAGUCCCGGCUUAGUGGGGAACGCAGUGGGGCUCCUAAGACAGCCGGGAGGUUGGCUUAGAAGCAGCCAUCCUUUAAACAGUGCGUAACAGCUGACCGGCCGAGGAGCCCUGCGCGGAAAAUUCAACGGGGCUAAGCCGGGCGCCGAAGCUGCGGGCUUGGCGGAACUGCCUAUAAAGGCGUUCCGUCAGGCGGUAGGGGAGCGUUCCGCCUGCUGUGAAGCCCGACCGAAAGGACGGGUGGAGCGGGCGGAAGUGAGAAUCCCGGCACGAGUAGCGAUAAGGCCGGUGAGAAUCCGGCCCGCCGGAAGCCCAAGGUUUCCGACGCAACGCUCGUCGGCGUCGGGUUAGGCGGUCCUAAGCCGAGGCCGUUCGGCGUAGGCGAUGGGCAGCCGGUCGACAUUCCGGCCCCACCGACCUCCGCCAUCAGGGAUGGGGGACGCUCCCAAGGGAGCCUACGCGGCGAUGGUCGUCCGCGGCGACCGUGGAGUGGGUCAUCCGAAAGGAUGGCUCGCUUGGCGGGAGCGAGCCGCCUUUGUGCGGCGAAGUGGCGCCCCAAGGGAGCCAAGAAAAGCCCUUACCGAGUCCAUCCCCAAAAGGGAUGGCGCGGAGCGUCGGUGACCGUACCGGAAACCGCCACAGGUGGGCGAGGAGAGUAUCCACAGGCGCGCGGGAUAACCCCCGCCAAGGAACUCUGCAAAAUGUCCCCGUAACUUCGGGAGAAGGGGAGCCGUAGUAGGGUGAAAGGGCCUUCGCGCCCGAGUAGCCCGAGGCGGUCGCAGAUAAGCGGCCGGGGCGACUGUUUAACAAAAACACAGGUUCCUGCCAACCCGAAAGGGGAGGUAUAGGGGCCGACGCCUGGCCAGUGCCCGAAGGUUAAGGGGACGGGUUCGCCGGGUUUUUCGCCCGGCAAAGCUCGCGCCCCGAAGCCC